CGGACGGGUGAGUAACGCGUGAGUAACCUGCCUUACACAAGGGGAUAGCCGUUGGAAACGACGAAUAAUACCCUAUGAAACUAUCACUUCGCAUGAAGCGAUAGUCAAAGUGUUAGCGGUGUAAGAUGGACUUACGUCUGAUUAGCUAGUUGGUGAGAAAAAGCCCACCAAGGCAACGAUCAGUAGCCGGCUUGGGAGAGUGUACGGCCACAUUGGGACUGAGACACGGCCCAG
rnacentral:rRNA from 1 species